rnacentral:tRNA from 1 species
GGUUGUGGCUCAGUGGUAGAGUGCUCACUUCGCACCGGUGCGGCCCUGGAUUCAAUCCUCAGCACUA